rnacentral:rRNA from 1 species
UACGGAGGAUGCAAGCGUUAUCCGGAAUGAUUGGGCGGAAAGCGUCCGCAGGUGGCUGUGUAAGUCUGCUGUCAAAGAGCAAAGCUCAACUUUGUAAAGGCAGUGGAAACUACACGGCUAGAGUGCGUUCGGGGCAGAGGGAAUUCCUGGUGUAGCGGUGAAAUGCGUAGAGAUCAGGAAGAACACCGGUGGCGAAGGCGCUCUGCUAGGCCGCAACUGACACUGAGGGACGAAAGCUAGGGGAGCGAAUGGG